rnacentral:rRNA from 1 species
CGGACGGGUGAGUAACGCGUGGGUAACCUGCCUCACACUGGGGGAUAACAGUUAGAAAUGGCUGCUAAUACCGCAUAAGCGCACAGUUCCGCAUGGAACAGUGUGAAAAACUCCGGUGGUGUGAGAUGGACCCGCGUCUGAUUAGCCAGUUGGCGGGGUAACGGCCCACCAAAGCGACGAUCAGUAGCCGGCCUGAGAGGGUGAACGGCCACAUUGGGACUGAGACACGGCCCAA